AAAGAAGAGCAGUACUGUUUUUUAUAAUAGUAUGUGAACUGCAGGACACAUGAACAUCGACAUAUUGAACGCAUAUUGCAGAUUGUGACUCUGUUACAAUCUAUACCUAUUCUA
rnacentral:rRNA from 1 species